GGGGAUUUAGCUCAGUGGUAGAGCACUUGCCUAGCAAGUGCAAGGCCCUGGGUUUAGUCCUCA
rnacentral:tRNA from 1 species